AGGAUAGAAUAAGCAAGCAAGAGUAGUACGUAGGAGAGUAACAAAAAACGGGAAGGUUGGUUGGUGCUUAUCUUCCCAUAAACUACGAGUAGUAGUCGAUAAUCAAACACCUAAUCACCAUCGCCCGCCCACAAUAUCCUCUCUCCACACGGGAAACAAAACAAAAACAAAACAAAACAGGGGGCAGAAGAAAAGAAAAGAAAAGCCAAGGAAAAUAGCCGAGGCGGAGGAACACGAGCGGGGAAGGAAGAAGAAAUUUCGGAAGGGAAUCCAUCCACCCCCCGUCGGGCCAGCUCGCUCGCCACCCCCCUUCCUCCCUUCCUCCCUCCGAGCGGAAUCCCUAGUUUCCGGGGCGCCGAAUCGGGGAUCCAAAAUCCGGAGCCAGUCCACCCUCUUCCUCCCUCCUCCCACCCACUGCUCUCUUCAUCCCGCGAUUUCUGUUUCGUUUCAUCCGCCGUUGUUGCAGUAAUUAAUUAAACAAACGGGACAAAACCCUACCCUGCCGAGCCCAAUCCGUCGGUCGCCCCCGGAAUCCCAAUCCGAUCCCAGUUCCGCUGCCGGAGCACGGGAUUACUGCCCGUCCGGGGGACCGGGGGGAUGGCCGCCGCGGACGCAGCCUAGGAUGGAGCUGGACUCCUCCGGCGGCUGCUCGGCUGCUCCCGCGGAUGCUGUGAUCGUCGCCGCUACUCGGGCCGGGCUCGGAGUCGGGGGCGCGUGGCGGUGGACGUCGGCCGCGAGGGCGAGAUCUCCCCGCGCGGCCUCGGAGUAGGCUAGCCGGUCAGCGCGCGCGCGUGCGUAUGGAGGGGAGCGGCAGGCAGGGGAAGGGCGGGGCGCCGACGUGGGCGCCCAGCGAGGGCACGGUGUUCCGGCCCUUCGUCGCGGCCGCAGGGGCAGGGGCGGCUGAGCCGUCGCCGUCGGGGUCGGGCAGUGGCGUUGCCGCACGCAUAAGCAAGCUUCAUGGGGUCAAGAGGAAACCGUGCGUUGCGAGGCUAACGGCGGACAUCAUUAACACUUUUGAAAGAUGCCACCCUGAGUUUAAGUACUCAGAGACACUAAACCCAAAGCGCUUUCUCACCCAUCCUUCGACCCCAGCCCACAAUGAUGGAGUUGACAAUGCAAAUUGGGACCUCAUAUUGUAUGUCAACCUGGAGUUGGUUAACAAGACAUCAAAUCGGAGGUUCAUUGUCAAGGAAAUGCUUGGCCAAGGCACGUUUGGCCAAGUUGUGAAAUGCUGGGACACAGAAACCAACAAGUAUGUUGCUGUGAAGGUUAUAAAAAACCAGCCCGCGUUUUAUCAGCAGGCCAUCAUGGAGGUUUCACUGUUGAGAACGCUAAAUCAGAAAUUUGAUCCUGAUGAUAAGCACAACAUUGUCCGAAUGCUAGAUUAUCUCUCAUUCCAAAAUCACCUGUGUAUUGCCUUUGAAAUGCUCGGUCAAAAUCUGUAUGAGCUUUUAAAAAGGAAUCAUUUAAGAGGAUUGAAAGUGCAAUUUGUACAGGCCUUCUCAAAACAGAUAUUAGAUGCCAUGAUAGUGAUGAGAGAUGGUGGCAUCAUUCACUGCGAUCUGAAACCAGAAAAUAUCCUCUUAGCUCCGACUGCAAAAACAGCUGCAGCAGUGAAAGUUAUCGAUUUUGGAUCAGCAUGCCUGGAGGGUAAAACUGUGUACUCAUACAUCCAGAGCCGCUAUUACAGGUCUCCAGAAGUUCUCCUUGGCUAUCCAUAUACUACUGCGAUUGAUAUGUGGUCAUUCGGUUGCAUAGUUGCCGAACUGUUUAUAGGACUACCCUUAUUUCCUGGUGCAUCAGAAUAUGAUGUGCUUAAGCGUAUGCUAAAGAUUCUCGGGGGGCAACCACCAGAUGACUUGCUAAGGGAAGCUAAGAAUACGGCUAAAUUUUUUAAACAUGUUGGAAGUAGCUAUCUGGGUAUUGGGGCACAUGAUGGCCCUGGCACUGCAUACAGAAUGUUAAGUGAAGACGAGGUUGAGGGGAGGGAGACCAAAAGGCCGAAAUUAGGGAAGUGGUACUUCCCACAGCAAAGGUUGGACCAACUAAUAUAUACCUAUCCUUGGGACAAUACAAAGUUGCCAGAGACAGAAAAAGCAGACCGCGUGCUGUUAGUUGAUUUCUUGAGGGGACUUCUUGAAUUUGAUCCAAAUAAGCGAUGGUCGCCAUUUCAGGCGUCAGGCCAUCCAUUCAUUACAGGCGAACCUUUUACUGGUCCAUAUGAGCCUGUCUCUGAGACUCCAAGAAUUCCUGUUGCUCAUGCUGCAGCAGUUGAUCACAAUCCAGGAGGAGGUCACUGGUUAGUUGCAGGUCUUUCCCCUCAGGUUGGAAGUGCGAACAGAUGUCUACCUCCUAACCCCUAUCCUCCAAAAGUGCCUUUUUCUUAUGGGAGUAGUUAUGGAAGCCUUGGUAGCCAUGGUAGCUAUGCUGGCAAUGCUGGUCUUGCUAGCAGCUAUGGAAGCUAUGGUGAUGUUAAUAAUGGUAACAUGUAUUACUCCCCAUUAGGUCCUUCUGGAUUUUCACAUGUUAGCUCUAGUCCAGAUAUUAGGCUGAGACCUCGUCUCUCUUACGAUAGAGGCAUUCGAUUGAGCCCUGGAGGUAUGGGGCCUAUGUCUCUUGGUGCCAGUCCAUCACAAUUUACCCCACCAAACUACCAGAUGCAUACCCCGCCUAAUUCUACUGGGAAGCAUGGCUCUGGUUCUCCUGCUAGUGGAGGCAUUCAUGGCUCCCCAUUGGGAAAAGCUGCACCACUAGGCCAAUACAGCAAGAGGAAGAACAUGCCGAUGCCACCACAUGAAUAUGCAUCUCAGCAUGGACAAGGACGACAUGGAGAUGGUGUCAGUUUUAGUCAUUCGGAUGCCUAUAUUCGCGGACAUGCUGGCUACUCUCAGCACUCAUUACCUAGUUCUGGUCAUUCUAGUUGGAGACCGCAAAUAGCUUCCAGGAGUGGUUUUUCCGUGGAGGCUUCUUCUAGUCAUGGGCCUUCCCAAGCAUAUAAUUCACAUAAUGCUCCACCUUUGCCCUCAUUUGACGUAUUACCGGAUACAUCAGCUCCAUCAAUACUUGAUCCUUCUGAUUGGGAUCCUAAUUAUAGUGAUGAGUCACUAUUGCAAGAAGACAAUUCAUUGUCAGCUGAUUUAAGCAGCAACCUUCAUCUUAGGGAUGCAACUUGUCAGCCAGGCGGAUCUGCGAGAUCAACCCGUGCCCAAAGCCACAACUUUGCAAGCUCAAACCCUUUACCGACAAGCCAAAGCUAUGGAGCAGGUCAACAACUGCACUCAGGCUCGCAUGGGAGGGGCACCCGUCCUACUGUUCCAAUCAGUUACGGUGGUUUCAACCCUCCGAAUUAUCCUCAGCAAAGUCUCCGGGGUCGCCAUGGACAUCAAUUUCUACAACCGAGAUACAACCAGCCAACUAACAGUCACAUGCGGCCACCGAUGGGGAGUCACCAAAGUGGGCAGCCUGCAUGGCCUCCCUAUGGCAUGGGCGAGGGAGUGCCCUGGGGAGGAACAGGCGUGCAUCCGUUUACGACGGGCGGGCUACCCUCGUCCCUUCCCAGAAAAGAUUAUGGGAGCAUAUUUUAGUGUGGACUCGGAGGAAUGCCAUUCAUUGCCGGGAUAAAUUAUUUGUACUGGCGAAACCGGAGUUGCAAUGGUUCUGGCUAUUGGUUUUCUUUUUCUUUCCUGCAAUGUUGCUGCAUUUGCGUUGCUCCAUUGGGUCCCUGAUUGUGAAGACAGUCUUGAACUCUAUGAUAUAUAAUAGAAUCGAUCGUUACAGCAUUAUCUGGUUGUGUUCACUUGGUGAAGCCUUUCGAGCCUUAGGAAUCCAGACUCAGCGCUGCCUUAGAGUUACAACUAUCCCAGAUUCUACAUUGUUUUUAACUGUUCAUUGCUCUCACUGUUGCAAUGCCAUUGCCUUGGUGCUCGCAUACGCUUGGGGUCCGCAAACCUUGGGAGUUUUUCCUUGAUACCUACAGAAACUGAAAACUUUCCAGUGAAAUUCAAGGGCGCCAAAUAGACCGAAAUUCCCCUUCUGAGACAUCUUGUUGAAGUUCCGCGGUUGUGUUUGGAAUGUGGGAACUAUCCCUGUGCUCUACGAGAUCGAGCCAUUUCUCGUGAUGCUUUUGCGAACUUAGGUUCUGUAUGAAAUUCCGGUUUAUGUAACACCCUGAGCAAAACGGCCGAAACUGGGCCGUCGCGCGGGGAAAAGGAAAAGCUGCGACACGAGUCACGACUGCCGCCGCGUCGCCACUGCUGCCCGCGUGCUCGCUUCCCCCUCCCUCCACCCCCAACUCGAUCUCCGGCUGCCGCGGCGCGACGCCGCAGAUGGCGAAGUCUGGGUACACGCGCCCGCCGCCCGUCGCCGAGGACACAGCCGCGCUUCCCGCUCCCAGCGCCGUCCUGUACGUGGCCAACUGCGGGCCGGCGGUGGGGCUGACCCACGACGACGUCGCCGCGGCCUUCGGCGCCUUCGGGGAGGUCGAGGGGGUCAGCGCCGCCGACGACAGCGGCGCGCGCGUCAUCGUCCGGUUCCGCGAGCCCGCCGCCGCGGGGGCCGCGAUGGCCGCGCUCCACGGGCGCCCCUGCGGCCGCCUCUCCGGGCGCGUGCUGCACAUACGCUACUCGGUGCCCGCCCCGCCCAAGGCCGCCGUCGCCGUCUCCGCUCCCCCGGUGGCCCUCUCCUCGUCGGAGCUCGGCAUCCCGGGCAUUCACUUGGUCCAGGAGUUCGUCACCGCCGCCGAGGAACAGGAGCUACUUGCUGCUGUGGACAGUAGGCCGUGGAAAAGGUUGGCGAAAAGGCGAGUUCAGCAUUACGGUUAUGAGUUUCUGUAUGAAGUAAGUUCGACCUUGUAAGUAUAUGACCAUCCAGAUUGUUCUUCUCUCCGCAACUCUAUUUGCCCUUCUGCAAUCAGUCAGAUUGGUUACGUUUAGUAGUACUAAAAUAAGUUCGCACUGUCAGUUCUUUUUGUACAAUAUAAGUUCAUAUACUUUCCAGAGGAUAUAAUUCUUUCUUCAGUACAAAAUGAAAAAGGCACUCACUCAAAAAUGUCAAUUGCAUUUUGCCUGAUUUUGUCAGCUCUGCAACAUCAGUGCUAACCUGUCAUGGCCCUUCACACUGUUAGUGCCAUUUUGGCAACUCUUAUUCCAGUGUACAAAUGUAGAGCAGAAGAAAAAAAAAUGUCGGUGUACAGAACGAAAAUUGGACAAAAGAAGAAUGCUUUAUGAAGUUUUACCAUGAAACCAUAUGCAGUCAACUAACUUCUUUCUGUAGAGAGGGAUGAUGUACUAUGAACAACUUUCCACAGUUCAUAUCUCCUUUGCCACUCCCACUCAUUACCUUUAAUCAUCAAAUCUUGAUGUGAAGGCUGCUCAAAGUUACAUUGUAACGAGGUUUUGUUGACUUUACAGACCAGGAAUGUUGAUUCGAAGCAGUUCUUGGGUGAGUUGCCAUCUUUUGUUUCAAAAGUCCUCGACAAAAUUGUGACAUUCCCUGGUGUCAAGAAUUGUACUGGCAAACUGGUGGAUCAAUUGACGGUAAAUGAAUAUCCUUGUGGUGUAGGUUUGUCUCCACACAUAGACACACACUCAGCAUUCGAAGAAAUGAUUUUUAGUCUUUCUUUGGCUGGACCUUGCAUUAUGGAGUUCAGACAAUACCCGAAAGGCAGUUGGCGUGCUCCAAGUGUGGUCAGUGGAGCUGAUGAAGGUAGUAUCCAAGAUCCACAAUGCACGCGGAAAGCUGUAUUUCUACCUCCUAGGUCAAUGUUACUCAUGUCUGGAGAAGGCCGAUAUGCUUGGCAUCACUAUAUACCACACCAUAAGGUUGAUGACGUGGCUGGUCAAGUCAUUAAAAGAAAUUCGCGAAGGGUUUCCUUCACUUUACGAAAGGUGAGGAUGGGUCUUUGUGAAUGUGAAUAUGGGCAAUUUUGUGAUUCACAGAGCAAGUAAGAUAUCAACAUUGGAUUAAGGAUAAGAUCUUGAACAUUACCUGCUACACCAUUGGCGAAUUCAUUAUCACCAAUCACAGGCUGGUGAUCUGGUGGGUGAUGUUUCAUAGGACUGAACCACUCCAACUAAGGAAAGUCAGCUGAAGCAUAUUUGAGCAAACCAAUAGAUAGUGUCACCAUUCCAGCAAGUUUUGUAUCUUGUAGCGAACUAAGUUUGAGUCUGAAAUUCUCAAAUGAGUCAUGUAAUUUGCCACCCGGAGGCCUGAUUUAUCCAGUUGAGAUAUUUUUGUUGUAUUUGUACAACUACAGUGAUCACCAUUUAUUCUCAUAUUGUUGAUAUCGUUGUGGAAUUCAAUGAUAUCAUGUCAAUGUUAUUCUGGAA
rnacentral:rRNA from 1 species